GGUAAACUCGGGUGACAGCUGGGGCGGCAGCGACGACUGGAGCAGCCUGAGUGUAGGUGGUGACACGGGACACAGCUGGGGCAGCGGCAACAACCGGAGCAGACUGGUAAACCCGGGUGACAGCUGGGGCGGCAGCGACGACUGGAGCAGCCUGGGUGUAAGUGGUGAUGCGGGACACAGCCGGGGCAGCGGCGACAGCAGCGACGGCUGGGGCAGCAGCCACAA
rnacentral:lncRNA from 1 species